UACAGAGGGGGCAAGCGUUGUUCGGAAUUACUGGGCGUAAAGGGCGCGUAGGCGGCCUGCUAAGUCGAACGUGAAAUCCCUGGGCUCAACCCAGGAACUGCGUCCGAUACUGGUUGGCUUGAAUCCGGGAGAGGGAUGUGGAAUUCCAGGUGUAGCGGUGAAAUGCGUAGAUAUCUGGAGGAACACCGGUGGCGAAGGCGACAUCCUGGACCGGUAUUGACGCUGAGGCGCGAAAGCGUGGGGAGCAAACAGG
rnacentral:rRNA from 1 species